AUUGAACGCUGGCGGCAUGCUUUACACAUGCAAGUCGAACGGCAGCGCGGGCUUCGGCCUGGCGGCGAGUGGCGAACGGGUGAGUAAUGCAUCGGAACGUGCCCAGUAGUGGGGGAUAGCCCGGCGAAAGCCGGAUUAAUACCGCAUACGACCUGAGGGUGAAAGCGGGGGACCGAAAGGCCUCGCGCUAUUGGAUCGGCCGAUGUCGGAUUAGCUAGUUGGUGGGGUAAAGGCUUACCAAGGCGACGAUCCGUAGCUGGUCUGAGAGGACGACCAGCCACACUGGGACUGAGACACGGCCCAGACUCCUACGGGAGGCAGCAGUGGGGAAUUUUGGACAAUGGGGGCAACCCUGAUCCAGCCAUGCCGCGUGCGGGAAGAAGGCCUUCGGGUUGUAAAACGCUUUUGUUCGGGAAGAAAUCCUCUGGGCUAAUACCCCGGGGGGAUGACGGUACCGGAAGAAUAAGCACCGGCUAACUACGUG
rnacentral:rRNA from 1 species